GUCACAUAAUGCAAGAGAUUUCUAUCACAAGGUUCGAUCAGCAACCUUAGCAGUAUUUGAACUUGAGGAGGACAUUGCAAGAACUAGAAGAAAGGCCACUCUAGUUCUGUCUUAAAAACUGUGGAGAAAUUUCUACUUCCCUGGGCAAGUUUCAUAGUCUUAUUUUCUGUGUCAGGUUGGCCUGCGAAUCACUUGGUAAAAGUAUAUUAUGCAAGAGCAUGCCAGCUAUCUGAGGUGGGAGUUGGGACUCUUAGAUUUAGAUCAACGAUCUAAAAAGAGGUGGAGGAUAGCAUGGAAAAUUGAAGGUAAAUAGGGAAAAGUGCUUUGAAGACACCCAUGGGGCAUUUAACCUUUGAUCAUAAUCCUAAGCGCUAACCAAGAAGGCAAAUCCUUUUGAGGAAAGGGUUUGUAUUCAUGUCAUGUCCCUUAUUUUUGUUGUUAUGAGUAGAUGCAAAUUACAGCAACUACUCUUUCAUAAAGGAAUGGACCUGUCUUAGAAAGCUCAUAAACUAUGGAUCUACUGAGUUGGAGGACCAAUUAUUCACUUGAAAUAAUCCAUCUAUCUCUUUCCUUUGAUAUAUACUAAAGGUUCCAUGCAUAAUGAUGGGAUCAUUGGAGGCCAUGCCAUGAUUUUGAUUUUGAUCAAAAUGAAUGUUGUUAUUAUGCUGAUAGCUUUGCUACAUUUUAUAUGUUACUCUAACUAUAAGAAAGGUUUAAUGUGCCCAGAUCUUCAUUAUGUAAUGCAAUUUCUUAACUCUAUGUUCAACAUAAUUCUGUUCCACCAGUAUUACAUGCCUUGUACUAUGCUCUUCUGUUCCCUGCUGCCCUGCGGAAUAGAUAUUUUAGCAAAUAAGGUGAGAAUUAUUGGACAAAGACAGCUAAGAAUGGAUAAACCUGGAAAGUUCUGAAGCCAACUAAGCAUUUUUAGAGAGAGAGAGAAUCUGUCAUUUUUUUAGAUAUAAAUGUUGAACACUUCUAUUAUGCUUUUCUCUUUUCUGUUUAUCUCUGCAAGUAUCUCAUGAAUAUGUUAUUUGUAGAAAUCUAUUGCUUCCCCUGGACGUGGAAUUCUUGCAAUAGAUGAAUCAAAUGCUACAUGUGGGAAGAGGCUUGCUUCGAUUGGUUUGGACAACACAGAAGCAAAUCGCCAAGCUUACAGACAGCUUUUGCUGACAACUCGUGGUUUAGGUGACUAUAUCUCAGGCGCCAUUCUUUUCGAGGAAACACUUUACCAGUCUACAACAGACGGAAAGAAGUUUGUAGAUUGUCUGUGUGAGGAGAAAAUAGUCCCUGGUAUUAAAGUUGACAAGGUACUUCUGCAACAAGGUUUUGCAUCCAUGCUUAAUUUUAAACUUGCUGCUACUCUGACUUUAGAAUUUUGUACUGAUUCACAUAUAUACUCUGCUUUUUUUGUCCUGCCAAGGGUCUGGUUCCCUUACCAGGAUCAAAUAAUGAAUCUUGGUGCCAAGGUUUGGAUGGACUGGCAUCAAGAUGUGCUGAAUAUUACAAGCAAGGGGCACGUUUUGCUAAGUGGUUUGUCUAGAUCCAUUUUAUUAGGCAUCUCCUUAGCUCUUUCGUUAAUCUGUUGUAGCUGCGCAAUUGAAAAACAGCUGCUAACAUGAUCAUGAAUGUCUAAUGUACUGCUUCAAAAUUUGCAGGCGAACAGUAGUUAGCAUUCCUUGUGGUCCUUCUGCCCUAGCUGUUAAGGAGGCUGCCUGGGGGCUUGCACGUUAUGCUGCUAUUGCUCAGGUAUUGCUUUUCUCCACAUGCAUGUAAGAGUAGUCUGCAAGUGAGAUUCCAUAGGAUGAAGCAUGAUGAUCAUUUUCAGUUCUCAACUGUAUUGCAGUUUUAAGCUAUAAUGUCUUAUUUCUUUUCAACUGUCAGUUGUGUCAGACCAUUCUCUCUUUCUUUUUUUUUCAAUGCAUGCAUUCAUCUGCCUGCCCAUGCAUUUGUACCUGGUGUGGUAACCUGUCUUACUUUUUUAAAAUAGGGAAAGAGAGGUUUUUGCUUUUCCAACAGAUAAUAUGUUUCAAGGUGUAUAAUGCUUUACAUCUGCAAAAUCAAGGGUUUUAGUUUGUUGGGCGGUGGUAACUCCACUCGUUUAUUCCAUCUCACAAACUCAGAGUCAAGGAAACAUUCUAAGGCACAAUCCCUGAUGCAAAGUUAAAGACUGCAUUAUGGUCCUAAUUGUCAAGCUAGAUUGACCUGAGGUGCACAGUG
rnacentral:lncRNA from 1 species